AUUGAACGCUGGCGGCAGGCCUAACACAUGCAAGUCGAGCGGUAGAGAGGUGCUUGCAUCUCUUGAGAGCGGCGGACGGGUGAGUAAUGCCUAGGAAUCUGCCUAGUGGUGGGGGAUAACGUUCGGAAACGGACGCUAAUACCGCAUACGUCCUACGGGAGAAAGCGGGGGAUCUUCGGACCUCGCGCCAUUAGAUGAGCCUAGGUCGGAUUAGCUAGUUGGUGAGGUAAUGGCUCACCAAGGCGACGAUCCGUAACUGGUCUGAGAGGAUGAUCAGUCACACUGGAACUGAGACACGGUCCAGACUCCUACGGGAGGCAGCAGUGGGGGAAUAUUGGACAAUGGGCGAAAGACCUGAUCCAGCCAUGCCGCGUGUGUGAAGAAGGUCUUCGGAUUGUAAAGCACUUAAGUUGGGAGGAAGGGCGAGUUACCGUAAUACGUAU
rnacentral:rRNA from 1 species